rnacentral:lncRNA from 1 species
AGAAGGUCAACUUUGCUCUUCUCCUGGGUUCUGGAACCAGACCUUCCUAACCUGCUCUGCUCACCUGGAGCCCCAGCCCACUGUCACCCAUGCCCUCAUCUCCAGACUCUACUUCCAGCAAGUAAGAGUCACAGCACUAGGCUUGCAAAGCAGGGAUGGUGGGUUGGAGCACCAGCUUCCGUGUCAAGCAGGGCGGGCUGCACUCCCAGCGCCCUGGUGCCUCUGGCUCUCGAGGCUUGUUCCUCAUCUCUAGCUCCC